UCACGGCGGGGAGGCAGGGAACCGGGGGUUCCACCAGCGCAGCGUCCCAUCUCGGUCGCCAACCGAUGCGCUGGGCCAAUGGCGAGACCGACCCCUCCGGGG
rnacentral:ncRNA from 1 species